rnacentral:rRNA from 1 species
UAUGACCACAUCAUGUUGAAACAUCGGUUCCUAUAUAAUCACUGAAGUUAAGUAAUGUUGAGUCUGGUCAGUACCUAGAUGGGUGACUGCUUGGGAAUACCAGUUGCUGUAAG